rnacentral:rRNA from 1 species
AGAGUUUGAUCCUGGCUCAGAUUGAACGCUGGCGGCAUGCCUUACACAUGCAAGUCGAACGGCAGCAUAGGAGCUUGCUCCUGAUGGUGAGUGGCGAACGGGUGAGUAAUAUAUCGGAACGUGCCCUAGAGUGGGGGAUAACUAGUCGAAAGACUAGCUAAUACCGCAUACGAUCUACGGAUGAAAGUGGGGGAUCGCAAGACCUCAUGCUCCUGGAGCGGCCGAUAUCUGAUUAGCUAGUUGGUGGGGUAAAAGCCUACCAAGGCAACGAUCAGUAGCUGGUCUGAGAGGACGACCAGCCACACUGGGACUGAGACACGGCCCAGACUCCUACGGGAGGCAGCAGUGGGGAAUUUUGGACAAUGGGGGCAACCCUGAUCCAGCAAUGCCGCGUGAGUGAAGAAGGCCUUCGGGUUGUAAAGCUCUUUUGUCAGGGAAGAAACGGUAGUAGCGAAUAACUACUACUAAUGACGGUACCUGAAGAAUAAGCACCGGCUAACUACGUGCCAGCAGCCGCGGUAAU